UGGGGAAUUUUGCACAAUGGGGGAAACCCUGAUGCAGCGACGCCGCGUGAUUUAGAAGGCCUUCGGGUUGUAAAAAUCUUUUUUACGGGAUGAAAAUGACAGUACCGUAAGAAUAAGGUCCGGCUAAAUACGUGCCAGCAGCCGCGGUAAUACGUAUGGACCGAGCGUUGUCCGGAAUCAUUGGGAGUAAAGGGUACGUAGGCGGCCUAGUAAGUUAGAAGUGAAAUAAUAUAGCUCAACUAUAUAAAGCUUUUAAAACUGCUAGGCUUGAGAGAUGGAAGGGAAAGUGGAAUUCCUAGUGUAGCGGUGAAAUGCGCAGAUAUUAGGAAGAAUACCGGUGGCGAAGGCGACUUUCUGGUCAUCAUCUGACGCUGAGGUACGAAAGCGUGGGUAGCAAACAGG
rnacentral:rRNA from 1 species